UUCUGCUCUGUGUUUUUGUUCAGAGCUCAAAUGGCCCUGUCUGUUAUCAGACCUUUAUUUAAUGGGAUUUCUUUUUUCUUGUUCAGAUUUAGUCCUGUGCUGAUUUUGUAAAUAUAUAUUAUAUUUUUAUUUCUGAAACUAUUUUAUUUCAUGUUCCUUUCAAAUCAUAGGAAAAAAAUAAUAUAAUAUAUAUAUACACACAUCUAGUUAUGCCUCUGGGACUGACAAGGCUUAGGCUCUCUGUGGAAUGAGACCCACUGGACACGUCUGUGCUGUUCACAGAGUCACCCCUGAAGAGGUUUUGCAAGCAGUGUGCUCUGUGUCUUGCUGUCAUCCACAUACCUGGAACGCAGACUGAGUGCAAACCGCGUGCCUACUGGCAUACAAACCAGUCUGGCACACUGCCAUGAUUUGGACAGCACAAGCAGGCUGUGAUUACAGGUGUGCUCUCCAUUUGGGCUGACUGUCUGGUUUUGAGGACAUUUCUUAUGUAAUUCCUGCCCCAAUGAGCAAAUUAGAACAGAGACAGCAGAUGACUGUAGGUAUUCAGGAGAAUAAGGGUUUAAAUGUUUUCAAACUUAAAUUGUAAAACUGAACAAGAAGGGAAAAUUCCAUUCUUAUUUUCAUCUGAAGCCUUUGGAAAAGGUAGUUUAAUAUGAGGCAAAUCUUCUUUUCUAAAAGAAUAGAUGUGACCUUGUAUGUGGAAGGCAAGAUCAGGGGGUGGCAGGUAAAUUCUCCUGAGGCCAUUAUUGGGUAUUGUUGCUUGGCAAACUGGCAGACUCAUUCUGGCUGGGAGAUACAGAUAUUUGGGAAGAGAUCUCUACCGCUAACUUUCCACUAUCUUGUCCACUAUCUUUCAAAAUUCUUGUGACAAAAUUCACCCAAAUCAGUACUGUCUAUUUAGAUUCUAAUUUGCUUUUCAAAAAUUCUCUAUGAUUGAAAUUGCAAGAAGAAAAAUUGAACACAUAGCAGGUUUUUCCAUGGGCUUCAGAUUACAACCCCAAACUCCCAGACUGUCUCAGAUCUCUCCUUUUCCAUCAUCAGACACAGAAGAACCUUAUCUCUGGGACUGCAGAUGAUUUUUAUGGUAGGAAAAAAAAAAAGGAAAUUAAAUAAACGUAACUUGAGGUAUCUAUGACAAUACCUUAAACUGGAACUGGUUGGGGAAAAUAGUAAGCGUCUAAGAGGCUCUCAGCUUUCUUCUCAUACUUGUCAAAAUACUUUGGAUUAUUGACUUUAUCUUGACUAGAACCUAGGGAAUUUUGCAUGGAUAUCUUGCCUUUGAUUUUCAGUGGGAUUCUUGAUAAAUCAUUUAUUUUCUGUUUCCCCAGUUCUUCAACUGGAAACAUAAUAAUUCCUUACAAAAAUAUCGUGACCAAAAAAUGGUAUUAAUCUUAUGAGUCAGUUAUGAGGAGGACUCCACAGUUACUUGGAAAACAAGUUAUGAAUUUGGUUAUAAAUGCUACUUAUGACAGUCCCUUCCUUCAAUGUAAUAGAAAAAAAAUGUUAAAGUUUUUUGCCGAUUCUGUAAAAGAAACCACAAAGUGCAAUACUCAAACAAAAUGGAAAGGUGUUCAGCUUAGAGAAGUGUUUGCUAUAAGCAGCUUUUCAAGUUAAUGAGAAAUAUCCACGUAAGGGGGAUUUUAAUAAGCAUUCUCUUGCUGAGUUCUACAUUUUUGAUUAAUUUAAACUAAGUCAUCCAGGUUUAACGUAGCAAAAGACAGCUUCAUUCCAAUACUGCUGUUGGAUUUUUACAUGUAAUAACAUUUUUAUUUAAAAAAAAUGUGCAUUUGAAUCUCAAGGACAUAAUAGUUCUAAGUGUCUGUUUACAUUAUCUGUACAUUUUUUUUUCCUACUUCACAAAGCUUUCUGGUUUGAUUGCAUGAAAUCUGGUAACUGUAAAGGAAUAGAGAAAUACCUAUCAUUCAUUAAGUAAGAGCCCUAAUUAAAUGUUAUGUUAACAAGCUUAAAAUAGGAUAAAUAUUCUAUCAGUAGUGAUAUAUGAAAACGGUUAAGUCUUUCUUAUGUCAGACUUUUAUAUACCGUAAAAUCAAGGUUUUUAUUCUGAACUGAUAAGGUAUAAUCUAUUUCUCUUUAUAAGAAGCGAAAUUAUGUAGUCAUAAGUAUGUGAGAGUCAGAGAAGCAUGGUGAAAUUAGCAGACUUUGGAGCCUUAGAGUAUAUCCUGUACUAUUUGAUGAUAAUUGGAGAAGCUGCUUUAACUUUACUUUUAUCAGUAUGUUGUGUUGUUUACAACGUAAAGCAUCUGUAGGACUUCUAACCUUUCAAAAUCAUCUGCUUCACAAGCAAAAUAAUCCCCUGGAUAAAACCACCAUUUAAGCUCCUGUUGUGUUGCUAUUUCACUCCCUUGGAGAAGAUAAUAUGGUAGGUUGAAUUAUCUAGUAGAAAAUUGUCAAGAAUUACGUUCUGAAUGACAGUUGCUGUGUUAGCACUCCAUGAUGGAUGAAAGGCUGAUGGACAUUUUAGAGUGAGCAAGAACAUUUUUUCAAAGUAAAAAUUAUAAAAAUUGUGCAUUUAAAAACAAAAAACAGAAUGCUCUCAGCAGUAUGAAGAAACUGUCGCUUAAUUUUAUAUUCCUUGAGCCAAACUCUUGCUCUGGAAUUGUCCUAUUUCGUCGGUAACAGCUAAUCACACUGGAGGAACUAAAUUGCAUGUGUCCCUUUACUUAACUUUGUAGAACACAUAAGCAAUUAUGGGAACUAAGAAAGGUUAUAUUGGCCAUCAGUCAUUCUAGUUUUAUACUUUAUUCACCCCAUGGCGCCUUGUAAUUGUUUCUUAAAUGACCUUAUUAUGUUUGUGCAACAUGGAAAAUAGCUUACUUCACUUGCUUAAAAAUUAUCGCAAUUCCAUGUGUUUCUAUUCAUUAAUUUUUACAUGCAGAUUGCUUAAAUUACUUAUUAUAAACUGUACUUCUGUGGGGUGUCUGCACUAAUUGGUAAGCCAAAUUACCUACAACAAUUGUUUCUUGUGGCAGUGAUGAUAUUUAUGUGCACAGACUUUG